rnacentral:rRNA from 1 species
ACGCACGCUGGCGGCGUGCUUCACCCAUGCCAGUCGCACGGUGAACUCCGCUUGCGGGGGGAUCAGUGGCGAACGGGUGAGUAACACGUGGGCAACCUGCCCUCAGCUCUGGGAUAACUCCAAGAAAUUGGGGCUAAUACCGGAUAUGACCGCUGACCGCAUGGUCUGGUGGUGGAAAGAUUUAUCGGCUGGGGAUGGGCCCGCGGCCUAUCAGCUUGUUGGUGGGGUAGUGGCCUACCAAGGCGACGACGGGUAGCCGGCCUGAGAGGGUGACCGGCCACACUGGGACUGAGACACGGCCCAGACUCCUACGGGAGGCAGCAGUGGGGAAUAUUGCGCAAUGGGCGAAAGCCUGACGCAGCGACGCCGCGUGGGGGAUGACGGCCUUCGGGUUGUAAACCUCUUUCAGCAGGGACGAAGCGAAAGUGACGGUACCUGCAGAAGAAGCACCGGCCAACUACGUG